UACGGGGGGGGCAAGCGUUGUUCGGAAUUACUGGGCGUAAAGGGCUCGUAGGCGGCUGCCUAAGUCGGACGUGAAAUCCCACGGCUCAACCGUGGAACUGCGUCCGGUACUGGGCAGCUUGAAUCCAAGAGAGGGAUGCGGAAUUCCAGGUGUAGCGGUGAAAUGCGUAGAUAUCUGGAGGAACACCGGUGGCGAAGGCGGCAUCCUGGAUUGGUAUUGACGCUGAUGAGCGAAAGCCAGGGGAGCAAACGGG
rnacentral:rRNA from 1 species